CUAGCCCAGUGGCUUCCAAACCUGGAGGGUCGGCCUAUUUUCUUUAUUCUCCUAGUGCCUCCACUAUGCAGCAAAGUGUGGAAACCACUUGGCUUGAGAGAGCUGGGUCCUCUGGAGCAGUUCAGGGUCACCACAGAAGUAGGCCGUCUCUUGGGCCUAUUCGCUCCAGCUUCGAGGUGGUGGUGCUUUAUUAGUGUUAUUAAGGCUAGAGUGCAGUGGUGCGAUCUCGGCUCACUACAACUUCUACCUCCCGAGUUCAAGCGAUUCUCCUGCCUCAGCCUCCCGAGUAGCGGGGACUACAGUGUCAAGGUCAUGAAAGCCACUGAAAGACUGAGAACUGUUCCAGAAAGGAGACUAGAGAGACAUGGCAGCCAAAUGCUCCACAUAAUCCUGUCCUGGAUUCUUUUCCUACAAAGGAAGGGGUCUGAGGAUUAGGUGGUAGUACUGAAUCCAGGAACUAUCAUCUUGUAUUGUGCUGUAGGCAAACUUUAGUAACAUAGUGGAAGCCACCAGAGAGAAUAUCUGAAGCAAUUCAUUAAAAUCUUGGCAGCCAGACCCCAGCUCCCACUUUACCUGAAAGCUCCCUUUAAUGAAGCUGAACUCUGUCCCAGCAAUUCCCUCCACAGAAGACCUACUGUCACCACCUAUGGAGGGGCAAUUCCUGGAGGAACCAAGUCAGCCAAUCGAAGGUCCUGAAUAAGCAAAAACUAAGUAAAUAAAUUACCAUCUCAAA
rnacentral:lncRNA from 1 species